UUUGCCUGCCCUUGGAUAGAAUAUUUGGAUGAAUUUUGGGGUCACCUCAGAUCUGGCACAUUUCAGAAGUUGCUGACGUGUUGAUGCCUGCUAAAACACAACGUGGGAAGAAGAAUGAAUGUGGGCAAGCUCGGCUAGCCACUCAGAGGGAAAUGAUCUCAUUUCUCCUGCUGGGCAACCCCCAGUUGCUGCUACUCAGUCCUUCUUGAAGUCCAUUUUCGUAAACACUUUGCUGAUCAAGAAGUGUCUGAAGAUGGGAAGACGGAGAAAGCUUGUAUUGUUUACUGAGUAUCAGAGGACACUUCCUUCAAGUGACCUAAGGCAUGUGUGAGUGCUAUCCUACGAGCCACAUUCUAAAGGAGUGAAGUCAUCACGAACACUGCCUUAGAAGAGUGAGUUAGUGCCAAAGACUAUCCUCAACAGCAUUUACAGACUCACUUUUCUAAAAAUCCAGAGAUUUUUUUUAACAUAUAAAUCAAGAAUGAACAAGGCAAAUGUUCAGCAAUUCACUUCCAUGCAUUACUCCCCUUCUCCUUGGAACUCAAUUUCUUAGCCAGGUUGCUUUUUGGGGCUAAAAGAAAGGAAAACAGAGAUGGAGACAGACAGGGCCAAGAAGCCAAUAAAGAGAUGAGCUGCACAAAGCUAUAAUAAUCAGUAAACCUAAGCAGGAAAAAGCUGAGAGGAAGGAAAGUUACUUAAAAUCAGAGAAUGCGGGGAGGGAGAAAAAUUGCUUAAAAUUAGUUUACAGAAAAAGAAAAUUAAUCUCCAUUUUACUGUUGAAUGACCUUUAGUCUGGAAUUAGAAUUCUAUAAAGUCUAAACAAAGAGCCACAUUUAAUUCCCUGGGAAACUCCAAUUUUAACUUGGCUUUAAUAAUAAAAAUUUUUGUGUGCAAAUUCCGAAAGCAGCACACACAAAGAAAUUAAAGAAUACAAAAACCUGUCCUAGGUAAUCAUGGAAAUCUUACGUAAAGAGAAAAUGAAAAUCUUUUCAUGCAAUUGCACUUUACUCGAAAAUUCUACUAAUCCUGACCUUUCAGGUUUUGUGAAGUGCCAAAUGCAAAUUAAAUGAAAAUGAAAUCACAAUACAUUGGAUUUUAGAGAAAGGAAAUGGCUAAUCAUGAAUGCUUUUUUUUUUGGCAAGAACUGUUCAGGUGAAUAUUAUGCUUAGUAAUUGUUCAGGCAAGAAAGUGGGUAGAAAUAAGCUUUCUCUCCUACCAUGAGGCUGGAUGCAUGCUUUGUUCUCUGAGGGAAAGAUCUCUACACAUUGAAUAAAGGCGAAGUACUUACACUGGACUUUAGCGAGAGUCUGACCCACAGAAUUCCUUUCCUUUGUGGGAAAUAGGGGCAAUUCUCAGCAUGGGAAGUACACACACACACACACACACACACACACACACAUACACACACACACACACACACACACACACACAGACACAUCGCGCCCACUCUUUCCUUGCCUGCGCCUUUUGUCUCCAAACCUAAGGGACCACACACCAUCUCCAUUUUAUAGGCCCCUGUUUGACACUCUUAGGCAUUUCAAAUUUAUCCUGCCCAAGCCUAUAUUUAACAUUCUAGAUUAAAAUCAGAGAAUGUUAAAGCUGAAAGUUACCUUAUAUACACAUAGGUCGGCCAGUCAGUCAGCUCUUGCAAUAUUAAGGCCAUUUAAAUAAUUUAAUUGGCAAAUUAAAUUUCCUUGCUUUUUUCGGAAAAAAAAUAUAUUAUGUAAAGUUAGGUUAGCCUCUACAAAAGUAUUUGUGCUUUAGCUGUAAUCUGGCCAAUGAUUUUAGUGAUCAUUUAUGAAAAUAUAUCAUUCAUUCUAAGUCCUGUUAGGCAUUUAGAGGUGAAUUGAAAAUACUUAUUUCUGAAUUUGUUCCUCCUCUAUUUCUUAGGAUCACCUCUACCUCCCAUGCACAUUAACCUGGGAAAGAGACAGAAAAAAUCAGAAAAAAAAGAUGUUAGGAGAAGCUGAACAGACUGAAAUUCUCCAGAAUGAGAGUGAAAGGAGCUGAAAUGCCUUUGAAAUAUUAUUUCUCAGCAAACAAAAAUCACAGAAUAGAUGCUGCAGACUUGAAAAUGGAUAAACACUGUUUGUGCCUACAUCUUUAUCUCUUUGCAAUCACCUCAAGAUUGAAUUGUACUGUACACUAUGGAUGUCUAGUUGUGCUUCAGUUAUAGUACAUUUCCUUUGAUGCCAACUUCCCUAAUGUCAGGAUUUUUCCCAGAUUAAGAGUGAGAACUGGGAUUGAGCCAAACAACAACACAGAAUCCAUAAUCUUCAAUACAGUUCAAGGUUGUUUCUAGGGAUUAAAGAGUAGAAAAACACACCAAUGCAAUAUAGGGCAAAACAAAAUAUAGUGAUAUCUCACCCUAUCACCUAGCACACAGUCAUAUACAGAAAGGCUUAUAAUUUAUCUUGGUAGUAAAAAAUGUGUUACCUUAAGCCCUCUAUAGUUAGAUGAUUGCGUGAAAGGUAAAAAAGCAGAUUAGAAGGGAUGCAUCCAGGCAUAAAAAAGGAAUGCUGAUAGUAGAAGAGGAAAAUGUGAAAUACCCAGGGUCCAAGCUUAGUACACUAUGGUUAAUUAGUGGUGAGGAGCAAGAGCUAGUUAGUCCACAGGAGUCUCAGGGAUAGUGAGACCCCCAUCUCUAUAACAAAAAAAAAUGCCUGGUGUGGUAUCAUGUGCGCCUGUAGUCCCAGCUACUCAAGAGGCUGAGGUGGGAGGAUGGCUUGAGCCCAGGAGGUUGAGGCUGCAGUGAGCCAUGAUGAGCACACUACUUCACUC
rnacentral:lncRNA from 1 species